CCUCCUGCACAAAAACCACUGGCUUUGCCUCACGUCUCUGUUUCUGGAGAUAACACGACAUACCGUUGUGCUUGUUUAAUUUACAACAAUGGUCCGACUUGUCAGGAUGAAAUAAUCAAAGGAACUCCCGGUAAGCAGAGAUUUUUGUGAGCCUUGUGGGGAGUAGCGCAUGCAAGAGCAGCAUAUCUGAUUAAAAUAGUGUCAGCAUUGUGAGCCGAGGCCCCCCCGACCUUAGGUAGUUAAGCAAUUAUUCCUGUGUGAACACUCUGGAGACUGUGCUUGUUCCAGCUGUUCGCUCUCUGAGUGUGACAGCCAGCUCUUAACCUCACAGAGCUGACGACCGACAUUCAUCAACGUAUUGUGAUGCCUACUGCAGCUCCAUUUCCAAAAGAUAUGGAUUGGAUAAGAAGUUCAGCUGCCAUGACAACUCUUUUCUCCUGGUUCUCGGUGGGACUGGAGGGGCUUUACAGUCUCUACAGUCACAGACAAGCAGGGACACCUCAGCCGAGGGAAAAGGCUAUUCAUGCGUCAGGAACGGAGGCCAUUACUGUAUUAGGUGCAAAGAUCAACUGUGAGCAACAAUAGCAACAAGGAAAGCAAGAAGAGAUGUGUGUUUGCGCUGUAUAACAAUCUAAUUAGAAUCAGGCAUGGGUCGAUACAUAUUCAACCAUUUUCGUUAUUAAAUGACUAUUCAAAUUCAAUGGAAGGGUACACAUGUAUACGUCAAAUAAAAAGGAAUACAUUAUUAUUAUUAUAUUAUUAUUAUAUUAUUAUAUAUAUACAUAAUAUAGCAUAAAAGAAACAAAUGUAUUUGAGUUUGUGUUUUAUUUGAGUUUGAUGCAUACAAAUACUGUACUGUAUAUGAUGAUUGUUGAAAAUGUAUUUUUACCAUAGAAGGCCAGCUCGACCAUUUGGUAGAGGCUCAUAAAAACAAAACUGUGUGGUCAGUCAAAAAAAAAAA